GCCGAAGUGGCGGAACUGGUAGACGCGCCAGAUUCAGGAUCUGGUGGGCGCAAGCCCGUGGAGGUUCGAGUCCUCUCUUCGGCACCA
rnacentral:tRNA from 1 species